rnacentral:rRNA from 1 species
GACGAACGCUGGUGGCGUGCUUAACACAUGCAAGUCGAACGGUGAAGGGAAGCUUGCUUCCCGGAUCAGUGGCGAACGGUGAGUAACACGUGGGCAAUCUGCCCCAGACUUUGGGAUAACUACUCGAAAGAGUAGCUAAUACCGAAUAUUCAGCCUUGCAGGCAUCUGCGAGGCUGGAAAGUUUCUCGGUCUGGGAUGAGCCCGCGGCCUAUCAGCUAGUUGGUGAGGUAAUGGCUCACCAAGGCGACGACGGGUAGCCGGCCUGAGAGGGCGACCGGCCACACUGGGACUGAGACACGGCCCAGACUCCUACGGGAGGCAGCAGUGGGGAAUAUUGCGCAAUGGGCGAAAGCCUGACGCAGCAACGCCGCGUGCGGGAUGAAGG